GUGGGGAAUAUUGCGCAAUGGGGGAAACCCUGACGCAGCGACGCCGUGUGAGGGAAGAAGGCUUUCGGGUCGUAAACCUCUGUCAGAAAGGAAGAACCUCCCAAGUCCGAAUAGGGCUUGGGACUGACGGUACUUUCAAAGGAAGCACCGGCUAACUCCGUGCCAGCAGCCGCGGUAAUACGGAGGGUGCAAGCGUUAAUCGGAAUCACUGGGCGUAAAGCGCGCGUAGGCCGCUUUGUAAGUCGGACGUGAAAGCCCUCGGCGCAACCGGGGAACUGCGUUCGAUACUGCGAGGCUUGAGUCCUGGAGAGGGUGGCGGAAUUCCGGGUGUAGGAGUGAAAUCCGUAGAUAUCCGGAGGAACACCGGUGGCGAAGGCGGCCACCUGGACAGGUACUGACGCUGAGGCGCGAAAGCGUGGGGAGCAAACAGGAUUAGAUACCCUUGUAGUCC
rnacentral:rRNA from 1 species